ACACCUUGAAGUCGCUGCUCGAUGUCAAGGACAUGAGUCUUGGCCUGGAGAUGAAGAAAUAGAACGUUUGAAAUGAGUAGAAACAUCUAUGCAUUCAGAAAUAAAACAACUGAGGAACUGCUGAGAAAACUGCAUGGAAUAUUGCUACAUCUUAAGAAAUGAAAGAUUCAGAGAAACCUGGAAAACCUGAAGAAACCUGUUUGAAAUCAUGAAUUAAAAAAUAUUUAGAAAGGGUUAAACAAGGAAUUUUGUUACUACUUGUUGAUUUUAUUAUGUAAACAUUUUAAAUUAUGUAAAAACCCACAAUUUCAUAUACAAUCCUUUUUGUUUUCUUAGUAUAUUGAAAUGUUUGAUGAUUGUCAAAUUUUUUUAUUAUUUUUUAUAAAUGUCAACUUGUCAGUGAUUGUUAAAUUUAUAAUCUGAAAUGUCAAUCUGGCAACCAGAUGGAGGAUGCAUUGAAGUGCAGAGGUAUUACAAGUAGAGAGAACAUAUAGAUAGGAAGUAACAAGAGACUGAAUCAAGAUGAUGGCCAUGUGGAAUCUAACUUACAUAUUCUUUAAUUUUCCAUGAGCUGAGAAAUUUUUUUGAGGUUCUCCCCCAUUUCAAACAUCUAUGAGUUGGCUAGUUUAAAUUAUCUUUUCAACUUUUUUUGGCUACAUAAAUGGUAAUGAGAUUAUCAAUAAUCGCACCAGAAGACAAUUAUGGUAGUAUUCACAAAUUUAACAAUAUCAAAGAACAAAAUAUUGGCUCCGCACUUAUAUAGUGCUUUAAGGUUUGCAAUAAGUUUUUGUCACAACUACUGUGUGAGAAAUGUAAAACAAUAUUAUCUCCAAUUAAAAAGGCUGCUAAUAGGUGGUAUCGUGGAUAGAGUGCUGCAAUAAUGAAGAUUUAGUUCAAGGCUGGACAGGUCACUUAAUCUUUGUCUCAGUUUUCUUAACUGUAAAAUGAGAAAAACCAGCAAUUUAUAUAGGGGUACUGUGAGGAUUAAAUGAGAUAGUAUUUGUAAAGUGCUUUGCAAAUCUUAAAUGCUAGGUAUUUUUAUUAAAGCUUUAUUGUUAAAAAUGAAGACACUGAAGCAAUGGUGUUCAUAUGGUUAAAGUAUUCUAAGUCAGACUAACCAAAAUCAUAUGCAUUUAAGAUUAAUACUUUGGUAAAGUAAACAUAAAUUAAGACACAUUUAUAAUUAGUGAUUACUGAAGUCUAUAUAGAUGGCCUGGCAUAGAGGAAAGAAUACUGAAUUAGCAGCCAGAUAACCUGAUUAAACUUUAAAUACUCGUUUUUUACCUUCUACAUAUGUGACCCUGAGGGAAGUCAUAUAACUGCUCAAAAUCCUCAACUUCUUCAUUCGUAAAAAUUGUUUACACAGUUAGAUGGUACAGAGUGGCUAGGACUGGACAUAAUAGAAAUAAGUGAACAACAGCAACAACAAAAAGGGUCUGAUUUCCUGUCUCAGAUUUUUGAGGAUCCAAUGAAAUAAUACACAUGAAAACAUUUUGUAAAGUAUAAUAUAUUGUGUACAAAGAA